AACGAACGCUGGCGGCAGGCUUAACACAUGCAAGUCGAACGGAUCCUUCGGGAUUAGUGGCCGACGGGUUAGUAACGCGUGGGAACGUACCCUUUUCUACGGAAUAACUCAGGGAAACUUGUGCUAAUACCGUAUGUGCCCUUCUGGGGAAAGAUUUAUCGGCAAAGGAUCUGCCCGCGUUGGAUUAGCUUGUUGGUGGGGUAAUGGCCUACCAAGGCGACGAUUCAUAGCUGGUCUGAGAGGAUGAUCAGCCACACUGGGAGUGAGACACGGCCCAGACACCUACGGGAGGCAGCAGUGGGGAAUAUUGGACAAUGGGCGCAAGCAUGAACAAGCAAUGCCGCGAGAGUGAUGAAGGUGUGAGGAAUGUAAAGGUAAUUAACAGGUGAAGAUAAUGACGGAAGCAGGAGAAGAAGCCCCGGCUAACAUCGU
rnacentral:rRNA from 1 species